UGGUCAUCCAUUCAGGUGGAAGGAAGGUAACUGAUGAAAUCUUCAUCUCUCUAAAGAGCACAAGAAGUUGCUGUACUGAAUAAAGCAAUAAAAAUGGGAGCUACCUGUUCAGAAGAAAGCAAAGUAGUUAGUAAUUCUAACCAAUGAUGAUGAUCUCUGCUCCUUUUUCCUUCCCAGAGAAGGCCAUUGGUUAUUCCUACAAGGAUGUAACAGGGAAGUUAUUUCAAAGAACAAGUGCAACUAACCAGAGUGUGAAGAUGAGCAUUGAGCCUGCUCUUCCAUUUGCAGAGAGGAGUUGUCCAGCUGAUUCUAUUUGUGCCUAAUUGAUCAUUGUUGCUUAUUUUUCAGAUGUCAAGAAAUAAGCGGAACUGAUCAUUUCUAUCAAGAGGUAAGGAACGCACCUCCUCACAGCAUGGAGGCAGGAAUGAAAGGCUCUGUUUCUAUUUUCAGGUGAAAGGAAGGUCUUACCAUUCAAGGGAGGAUGAGAUGCUGCUGAAUUUAAGAAAAAAAGGCAGACAGGUUUUGCUCUUCUGAGAUAUGAAGAGACCAGGUGGUCAUUCCUACCAGGGAGAAGUGAGGCUUAGUGGCAUGGCUGUCCUGGGCAAGGAGACAAAAAAGCCACUUCAAAUAGUUCAGCUAGUCGCAAAUCUGAAUCAAGUCAGCAGAACAUCACAGACAUGGAGAUCAGAGAAAUGCAGAUGAUUUGAACGUUGAGGGUGUGAAAUCUUCAGGAAGUUGCUAGAAGAUCUGGGAUAUCUACAGAAAGGAAACAAGCAAAACUCGUCACUGUUACCAAGAGGAGGAGAGAGUUACAGAUGCUCAGGAUUUGAGUACAAAGGAAUAGGAAUGGAGCUGAACAGAUCCAACACCUGAAAAGACGAUUGGAUCUCAAAAUAUGAAAGAUCCUUCAUUCAAUAAAGCAACAGGAUUGGCUCUGAGGAGAGGUAAGCAGCAUUUGGAAAGAGCCAGCGUGGACAAUAUUCAAGACACAAUGUUCAAAGGUUGCUGCUGGGAUGGAAGUAAAGAAGAAAGCCCUGGAGACAGGUUAGUGCUGGGACACAGACACUAUCCUGGAGGGGCCUGGGACAGGGUAUGUAACCAUAGCAACCAGCGGGUCCUUUCCCCACUGUGGUCCUGGCUCGCAUGCACAGGGUGAAACCGAUCGCCAUGUUUGGGGUCAGGAAGGAAUUUUCCUCCAGGGCAGAUUGGCCAGAGACCCUGGAGGUUUUUCGCCUUCCUCUGGGGCAUCGAGCAGGGACCAGCCCUUAGGACCAUUUACGAACAGACAUAAUAAAAUCCAUCAAAGAGAA